AUAAGAAGAAGAAGAAGAAGAAUAUUUUAUUGACUUAAACUGUACACAGUUUCUCGUCAUACAUAUAUACAUAUUUACAAUAAACAUAGCUUAACAAUAAGGUCAUAGUUACUGUAAAAUAAAUCAAUAAUUAACAGAUCUAUAGAUCUAAAUUAUACCAGUAGUUUGUUCACAAGUUAUAUACUGAGCUGUGAGGGUGGUUUUCUUCAAAUUAUAGCAAUAAUAUUAACACAUUUUGUCAAUCAUGGUACUCUUACUUUUAUAACGACUAUAUCUAACUAUCUAUCUAGCAAAAUGUUACCAAAGUAGAUGCUCGAUUUCCAGUCUACAGUAGACAGGCUGCUCGAAAAAACAAUAUAUACUGGUUUUCUCAUGGCGCGGCUCAUAUAGAUUUAAAACAUUUUUUUUUUUUUUUUUUUUUCAGAAUAAACCCGUAGUAAAUUUUACCAUAUUUGGAACAGUCUACAUCGCCAGUCAAUACACUAUAUCGUAAAUCGAGUCAUUCAAUUUGAUAACGGUUACAUAGUGACACCUCCAAAUAAGGAAAUCCGAUAUCACGGUUCAUACAUAUUCGGGCAUGCGUAGUCAGUGUGUAAACCAAGCUUGCAACAGCUGAAAAACUGGGACAUGUGUUUUGGAUAUAUUAACCUCAAAUAUCCGGCUGUAUAAUUGUAACAGCAUCAUUGUUAAAGGUAUUAACUGACACAGUGGCACGCACGGGGAUUGUAGGAAUAUGUGAUAUUGUACAGCAUCGAAAAACAGCAACAACAACAACAAGUCUUGAUAUGCAGAGAAAAUAAGAUUCUGCAAUGGCGCUGUUGUCUGUCGUUUCUAUUCUGAGAAUAUCUGUCAGUUUCAACACGAAGUUUAUGAGAUGCAAGCUUAAUCGCGCCAAAGCAACACAAUAUUUGCUGGGUAAUACACUUAAAUAACAUUCAAAUUCAAAAGAUGUCUUAAAGUUCCUAUACAGGUACAAAGAACCAGUAUUAUUAGAAACAUCAUUGUUCCAAUUCUGUACAAAAGCAUCAUACACUCUCUGCUUAAAAAUAUUUGGAAACAUUUUCAGGUUCGUGGAAUAUGGAUUGUUCCAUACAUAAGAAAAACCAAAAUUGUCUAGAAGCAUUUUUAUAUCACUGGCCCAGUUUCUACCAUUGACCCGACCAAUCAUAUUAUAUAAUUCUUUGUAUAAGGUACUAAUAAUAAUAUUAUUAC